AUUUCCUCUGUGUGUAUUUUUCUUUCCUCCCAAGCCUGCACAGAUAAUACACAGUUCUGAGCUUCCAUUGUUAAAAACACAGUCCAAGUUUCCACAAGCCCUAGUGGCCAACAUUCAACAAUAACUGGAGAUGAUUCAAGAGAGAGUCAUCAUCAGUUGAUGAUGAACGCUUCUGAACCAGAUGCAGGUUCUUCAUGUGGUGACCUUUCAAAUGACAUAAUAGAUAGUGAUUGUAAUAUGUGCGGCAAAGAGCUAUCUUCUGUAGUUAUCUCCCCAUGUAAAUAUUUAUGUUGUUUCAAAACAUGUGAUGCUAACGUGUACUCUUGCCCGUCUUGCCCUGUGUGCAAAAUGGCCAAGAAAAGCAGUUUGGAGGUUUCCUGGCCUCUGAUAAAGAAAGGAGCAGACUGAGAGGACUUUGAGGUGGGAGUAACCCAGAACGAUUCCUCUUAAUUCGCUGGAGACCCUCCCCUUGAAAACAUAGAUUAAUCCUCCUUUUUGUAGCCUUCCCAGUCUCGGAUCUGAUUGCAUGCAGUAGGUUUGUUUAGCUAUGUUUAGGUCCAGCUGUGUAGUUUAGUAGCCUAUGUUCCUAUGUUCAGUUGCUUAUUACUGGGUUGAGGCAUAUAUGUUGCUUAUGUUCUACCCUUCCUCUUGUUGGAGAGGUUUGGGUUAUUAAUAAAUGGGAAAUUCUCAAUGGUACACUUCUAGUUUUGGCUUUUCCAAAUGGUACGCAAAAUAUUUUUGACUUCUGGUUGGUACACUUAUACAAUUCUAACAUUCUGUGCCAUACCCUUCCCGUCAACAUCUGUUAAUCAAACGUUAACUUCUCCUCAAUUAAACCUUAAAUAAAAUUUAAAAAAAACCUAAAAACAGAAGAAAUUACAGCCGAAAUGGGUUCGAACUCAAAUGGAUAACCACAACACAUACACGCGGGUUUACAGAAAAUUGGGAAUUAGGGUUUUGAGAUACAAAGGUCACGACGACUUGAAAUCAAAAGAAAAUCAAAGGCCGAUUCUCUUGAUUGGGUGCGGACUGAUGAAGGCAGGAGAUUGUGGGGUGGUGCGUUUCGUCACGGCGGAGGGAUAUUGAGGCGUACACGCGGCAGAGGGAUGAGGUGGAGUACGGGUGAUAAAGGGAGAGAUGGUGGGCAGAGGUUGGAGGUUGCAGUCAUUGAUGGGUCUGUUGUGGGGUGAGGGCUUUCAUCGUCGGUAACCGGUGAUAAAGGAGUUAGAUUGCUGGGAGAGAAAGGCCGACGGUGGCGAUGGUGGUAGGAAGGUUAUGUUGCUGCCGUAAUACGAAGCAGAGUGGUGGCAAUUUCAAUAGGCCAUAUUUUCUUUUGUUUCUAAUUUUUCUUAUUUUAUUCAAGGUUAAUUGAUGAAAAGUUAACGUUUGGUUAACGGAUGUUGACGGGAGGGGUAUGGCAUAGAACAUUUGAAUAAUAUAAGUGUACCAACCAGAAGCCAAAAACAUUUUGUGUACCAUUUGGAAAAGUCAAAACUAGAAGUGUACCAUUGAGAAUUUCCCUUAAUAAAUUGGUGUUUGUCUAAAAAAAAUAAUUCAAAAACGCUUAGUUUACUAUUACAAUUUACAACAUACCAAACUAGUCUCAGACUCAUAGCUAGUGUGCUUUGUUGUUUGACUAAUCAAUGAUAACUUGCCAAGUUACCACACAUCAUGUAUCAAAUACGGUGUUAUAAGAAGCCUCAGUGGCUUAGAGCACUUGUUUUCUUUGGCUAACCAAUGACUACUUGACUUCCCAAUUAUAGCAAAUUAUAGCAAAUUUUGUUAAGUACGUACAAUUAACAAUCUCAUGGGAGACCCCAUUUUAAUGAUUAAAUUAACAAAUAUUUAUUAAAUAUAUUUAGAUUUGUUAUAAUUUUUCAAAAUAGUCAAAAAUCAUAGAGAUGUAUUUAGAUUAAUGAAUUUUUUUUUAAAACCAAAUAGUUAAAAUUGAUCAAUUUCAUAGGUAUAAUUAUUUUUCUAAAGACUACAUUUAAUUAAAUCUUACCUAUAAAAUAUCAAACUAUUAAAAUUUAAAAACAAACAACCACUGUAUAAACGAAAACAAGUCUUAGUUACUCAUAGAAAUAAAGUUUUGAUCAUCCAGCAUUUUUAUGCAAUCAAAUAUCAAGAUUAAAAGUUAAAAAGUAUGCAAAUAUUCACCACAAAAAAGCAAGACAAAACCGACCACUUAAAACCGACCGUCGUGUCGGGAUAAAAUCGACGGGCACAAAUCGGUCGAUUUUAAUGAAAAUCACAUCGUUCAGCUUUGCUGACAAGACUUCGACUUAUUUAAACCGACCGAAUCAAUUUUGAUCGGUUUUGGAGUUGACUUGUCCGGAUAAUAGCCAACCAACUCGUCAGUCGGUUAAGUGUUUGGGUAUCUUUAAUUAGUUUUUAAAUUAUUUGUUAGACAAACCAGUGUCGUAUUGUAUCUAAAGACAAAACCGACUGGCAUUCGCUCAGUUUUAACUCUAUUUUUUAUUUUUCAAUAUAUUUAUUUAUUUGAGAAAUGAAAAAUAGAUACGCAUCAAAGAAGCGAUACGACGACAUUUUAUGUUAAAAUGCAUAACCGACCACGUGGUGGUCGAUUUUAACCCGUUUUUUUAUAGCUAAAUCUCUAUCUCCCUCACUACUCUUCUUUUCUUUUUACCCGUCUUAUCUUUUUUUCCUCUCCUUUCCCAAAAUUUUUAUCACUCUCUACCCCCUGUCUCUACCUUAAACCUCUCCCCCGCUCUCUCUCUCUUUAUACAGAAAUGCGCAUAAAAAACACGGAUCUUAAACUUAGUUGGGACUCGAUAAUGGAUAUCAAACUCAACUAGGGUUCAAUCUCAAUUUGCAGAUAUAUAUAUCGAUCUCUCCCUCAGUUCCCCUUUAUAUGUUUAUGUAUGUUUAUAUACGUUUGUGCAUGGUAAUUUGAUGUUUAUUGCCCUUGCUAGACAAUUAUACAUUUGGUUGUUAUGGAAAUUUGAUGUUUAUGGUAAUUGUUAUUGUUCUUGUGGGUUAGUUAAUUUGAUUGGUUAGUUGGUUAGUUGGUUGGUGGUUGGUGGUCGCAGGUAAUGAUAAUAAAUAGAAACAGUAGAACCUUUUAUUUAAAGAAAAAUCCAGAAAACCGACCGACCACCGUCAUAACCGACCAUAAAUAUCGUUUUACCUUUCAGAAAACCGACUGGCAAUAAUCAUAACCGACCAUGAUUACCAUAAAUCAUGCCAGAAAACCGACCGAAGAGCACAUAUAUAACUGACAAUGGUGACAUUUGCCAUCGCAAAAAACCGACCGCUUCCUUUAAAAAUUGGUCGGUUAUGGUUGGUCGGAUUUACUCAACUGCAGAGCCAUCUGUGCUAAACUCGACCAAUAACGCAAAAUCGACCAUAUGAGCGGUUGGUUUUAAUACAACAAAACUCAUCUUCUCUUGUCUCAAACCCAACCAACUCUAUUAAACCGACCACUUUCGGUCGGUUUUAUUAUGCUCGGAGAACCUUUGACCAUUUUUGGUCAAAAAUUUUAACCGACCGAGCCAUAGUCGAUUUUAAUACAACAAAACUCAUUUGCUCCUGUCCUAAACCCGACAACUCUAUUAAACCGACCACUCCGGUCAGUUUUAUUAUGCUCGGAGAACCUUUGAUUUAACCGACCAACGAGCGGUCGGUUAUACAUAUACAUGUGGCACUUGCGUCCAAGUGGCACCAGCUGGUAACGUAGGGCCGGUUUGGAGGGAUUUUGAAAUUGCUAGAACCGACCACCUGUCUAGUCGGUUUUAAAGAUUAAACACGACCAAUGUGUCUUAACGACCAGGUUAAAACCGACCACCUUUGCUGGUUAGUUCUAGGUCUAAAAUUGACCAUUCCUAAACCCGACAACUCUAUUAAACCGACCACUCCGGUCAGUUUUAUUAUGCUCGGAGAACCUUUGAUUUAACCGACCAACGAGCGGUCGGUUAUACAUAUACAUGUGGCACUUGCGUCCAAGUGGCACCAGCUGGUAACGUAGGGCCGGUUUGGAGGGAUUUUGAAACUGCUAGAACCGACCACCUGUCUAGUCGGUUUUAAAGAUUAAACACGACCAAUGUGUCUUAACGACCAGGUUAAAACCGACCACCUUUGCUGGUUAGUUCUAGGUCUAAAAUUGACCAUUUUUGGACUUAAACGACGGUAUUUGUCGGUCGGUUUCCCAAUUUUUUGGUAGUGAUUGGAUGACAGAUAUUUGAGAAAAUCAUUGUUUGAAACCUAUUUCAUUACAUCAAAUUUGUUGAACUAUUAGAAGUUCAAUUAUUUAAUUCAAAAAUGAUUAUCAAAUUUAUUAAUUUUUAAAUUAUUAUUUAAUAUGUCUAGUUACUGAAAACUUAUAUUACAAUGUUAUUGUGGCCUGUCAAACGUUUUCUUCCAAUCCUAUUCUUGAAUUGUAGGCCUUCGUUUCUUUUUGAUUAUAUGAUUAUUUGUCAGGGCUCUUUUCAAUGCUCAAUUUAUAGAAAUCUUAACAUUUUAUAACAUUUAUUAUAUAUUUAUUUUUAAAUUAUAUAUAUGACACUAAUUCAACAAAAUUAAAUUUAAAUAAUUGAUUUAAAUAGCUUAGUCAGGAUUAUUUGGCGUGUGAAGUGAGCAUAUAAUAAGAAAGAUCGAUUAUACUUUUGGGUCCUAAUUCAUAUACAAUUUCUGAAAAAACAUAAAACAAAAGAACGUAAAUGAAUGUUAUUUAAAAUAUGAUAAUUAUUUUUUUCAGCAUCUUCCCACAAAGAUACUCUAGAUAGAGUAUUUAUAAAUUUAAUAUAACAUAAAUAAAUGUUUAAAUAAGAGUAUCUCUAAGAGGCGAAUAUUUUAUGCUUUUGAAAUAUGAGAAAUUAAUGGAUGAUACCUAGAAAGAUUUUUACAACAAAUAUUUAUUAAAUAAGUAAAUAAAAUGAAGCAAGCUAGAAGAACAAAAAUGAAUUGGCCGUACAAUUUGGGAAACCAACUUACAAUUGCCAGUUAUAUUCCACAUUAAUAAAAAUUACUAAAAAUUAUCUAAGAAGAUGAGAAACUUAAAUAUUAAUAGCAUAUUUGGGAACGUGGAUUUCAUUUGAAAUUUUGCAUUUGUCAAAUAACCGAUUUGUAAAUUUGGAUUUGUAUUUCGUUUGAAAUCUAGACACUCAAAUAUUAGUAUAAAUCUAAAAAUUUGAAAUAACAAUUUAAAUCUUGUCAUUUGAAAUGAAAUACAUAUUUUUAAAUGACCUUUAACAGAUUUAUUAUAAUUAAUUAGAGAAUAAUUAGGAUAUUCUCUGUAAUAGUACUGAAUAAUUGACUUCUAUCACUACCAUUACAUUUGUUGCUUCUAACUUGUAUAUAUUUGACUUUUCAUAUAUAAUAUUUUUGUAUUAAGUAUAAUGUAAAAGAGUACUAUAAUCUCAAAUACUACUGUUUGCAUGCAUUUUGAUACUCUUCUAGUCCUAUAACGUUUUUUUAAUCUAUUUUUUAUAAAUAAAAGUUUAAAUAUCAAACUUUUAUUCACGAAAAAAUUUUAAAAAAAAUUAUGGAUCAUUGAAGUAUUUGUAAAAAACAUCAAAUAGAAAGUCCCCUCCUGAGGUGUAUUAGGGCUUCUGUCUCAUUUACUGCCUCAACCUUGUCUACCGCUUGUUUGAAUCGUCUUAAGUAGCUCUCAAGGUCUUCUCGGUCUCCGAUGGAUUCCAAAUAAAUGGUAUGUAUCUCAUGAUGUUUGUUGGUUCCGAACUUAGCGAGGAAAGUCUUUUUAAAAUCCACCCAUGUAUCUAUAGUUCUCGUGGGGAGCCUGUUAAACCAUCUCUGCGCAUUUCCCUUGAGGCUGGUCGCGAAGAAGCGGCAGCUAGUGAGGUCAUUGUACUCAUAGAAUUUGCUCAGCUGGUCAAACUGGUUGAGGUGAUCUUCCGGGUCGCUUUCACCGUUGUAAGCGUCUAGACUUGGGUGCUUUAGGUGCCUUUGUUUUCUUUCGUCUUCCAACCUCCGCGUAAACGGGGAUUCGCCUAUUGCCGCAGAUACUUCUCCUUCUACUCUUUUCUUUAGAUCUACUCUUUUCUUUAGAUCAUUGAUGGUUUUUCUCUCAGUGGUCGAGCUCGAGAGGUCAGGGGAUGAAUUUCAUGCAACCACCCCUUCCUGGCGCGCCAAAUGAUAAGACUCAAAAUGCCUCCUGCCAGGUGUCACUGAAUGCGUCCUUUGUUUUCUACGGUGGCGAGCUGUACGUGAACUGUAUGUGGGGUAACCUGCAAAACAAUGCCUAGCCGGGGGUGGUGGCCGUAAGGCACCUCCGGUGUGAUAAUGAGUAACUCUUUUAUUUCAAUCUCUUUUACUAGUUUAGUGCGUACCUCGUAAUGUCAUUUCUCUUUCUUAUUUAUAGUUCUUCAUCCUCGCUCCUGGACCUCUCUCGGUUACACGUGUCAAGGAGAAUAUUCUCUUUUCUCUCCCGCAGAUGAUGACUUUCCGUGGACUUUGCUUUACGCGCCCGCAUGAGGUUGGGAUUCCUUUCAGCUGACGUCCUCCCUGUGACGUAAUGAGUUCCUACGUGUCCAUGAUCUGGGGUGGUCCCCAUCAGAUUUCAUAUCGAUUUUUCUUCUGAAGACCGAACAAAAGAAAGUGGCAGGACGAAUAUCAUCAGUUUGAUUUCAGCACCCUGCUAGAGUAAAGAGUUUUGACAUUUUUUUCCUAUAUAGCUAAAGUGGGAUUAGAUUAAUUAGAUUGGUUGUACAGUAAAAAUGAAUUUUGGCUUGCUAAACUGAUUUAGACUUUUGUUUAUUAACAUAAUUUCCACACUUCAAUUACAAAAAUAACAAAUGAUGUUGUGAUAAGGAUAUUUAUAUAAUUUUUGUGUUGUUUCAUAACGUGAAAGUGAACCUUAAUUAGCUUGUCCACAUAUUCUGGAUAUUUAAAAAAAGACAUGUGAAGCUAUUAUAAUUAGUUGAAAAGUUAAAAUUUAUGUUGGAGGAGGCUGGCCUAAAGUUACUUGGUUCUAUGAUAGUUUCAAAUUAACUUCUUUUCUUUUGUCAAGUAAUUUUAUUUUCCUCUUACAUCUUGAUUAAAUAAAUAAUUUAAAUGAUAAACAAGAUGGCAAAUUUUGAGAUUAACUAAGUUUUUAUUCCACCUUAUCUCAUAUAUAUUAAAACAAAUUAUGUCAUUUUUUGCAAUUUUAUAAAAAUAAAAGUACACUCCUCAACAAUAUAAAAUGCUUAUAUUCAAAUGAGAUUUGAGUUGGAUUGAAAUUUUUAUAAUCAAUUCAAAUAGAUGAAUAAACUUAUAAGGUCAAACUUCUAAAACAUUAAGGCCCAAUAUUGGCCCACCCACUAAUAUUAGGUAUAGUGUAGGUCAUUUCGGUUAGGUAUUAUAUAUAGAUAGGGAAAGGGGUGUUCCUCAAUUUCGCAGCCGGCCCAAUAUUGGCCCACCCACUAAUAUUAGGUAUAGCGUAAGUAUAUAUAGAUAGGGAAAGGGGUGUACAUCAGUUCCGCCGCCCGCCUGCAACACACCUGUUCAAAACACAUCUCAAUAUUUUGGCCUUUCUAUAUAUAAUUAUAUUGUUAGUUCUAUUUCACUAGCCAACAAUUAUUCAAAUCAUAUGUUGUGGUUAUGUACUCUCUUUGGCAUGAUUAACAAUAUCAGGUACGUUAAGUGAUUUGUGAAAUCAUAUAUUUGAUGUGAUUAACUAUAAUUCUAUUAUAAUGUUUUUGUAUUUUUAGUUGGAAUGAUUAUUAUUGAAUUUAUUAUUCUGGUGUUGUUUUUUUAAAGAAUUAUAGCUGGUGAAGUAUGGAAAAUAAUGAAGAAAAUGCUCCAAGAAUAUGCAGGCAUAUCUCCAGUGGCAGGUUGGAAUUUAUCGUUAAAAUGCUUUUGUUGUAAUUGCUUGAUAUAUUUUUUUUAUUAAAAGGAUCAUGGUUAUAUUUACUUUUCAGUACUUAUUAUGUACUUGUUUUUAAUGCAGAACCUGCAAACAAUCACUUCAGUUGUGAAUGAAAGCACUAAUCAGGUUAACCUCAUUCUCAAUUGUGCUUCACAUCUUCUGGAUUUGAUCCAAGAAAAAGAGAACGAGGUGGCGGAAACAAACCAUGCAAACUGGGGACUCCAGAUGUGUUUAAAUGAAUAUGACUAUCAACUGAAAGUUUGCAGCAGAUAGCACUGGAGAAAUAAGCCCUAGUGGCCAACCUUCAACAACAACUGGUGAUGAUUCAAGAGAGUCAUCAUCAGUUGAUGAUGAAUGCUUCUCAACCUGAUGCAGGUUCUUCAUGUGGUGACCCUUCAAAUGACAUAAUAGAUAGGGAUUGUCAAAUGUGCGGGGAAGAGAUCUCCUCUGUAGUUUUAUUACCUUGUAAACAUUUAUGUUGUUGCAGAACAUGUGAAGCUAAUGUGCACUCUUGCCCUGUGUGUAAAAUGGCAAAGGAAAGCAGUUUAGAGGUUUCCUGGCCUCUGAUUAAGAAAGGGACAGACUGAGAGGAGAGAAAAUGGAGAAGAAUGAAUUAGAUGGUCCUUUUUUUUUCGGAGUGGUAUGUUAUUUUAGAGACAGUGGUGAAUGUUUCUUUAAAGAAUGAAUAUUAGAAAAUAAUCAAUCAUAUCAUUUAUAUUCAUUCUUGUGGAGAAUUUUUUAUGCUUUUUCUUUCCGGUAAUUUAUACAUGUCAUUGAUAAGAUAAUGGGGCUGUUUGGAUACUUCUUGUAUAGAGUAAGAACUGAAACAAGUCAAGAUUAUAACCGAUUAAAAUGAAACAAAAUCUAUGCAUUUCAUUUAAAAUCUAUGCAUUCAAAUAUUAGUAUAAAUAUAAGAAUUUAAAAUAAUAAUUCAAAUCUUGUCAUUUGAAAUGAAAUAUAUGUUUUUUUAAAUAUAUAAUUUUUUUGAUAUAUUCUAACUUAAAAAUAUCGAUCUUCUAAAAUAACAUCGAGCAACAUAGUAAUUAUCUUUUUAAGUAAAACACAUUAUCUUUUUUAGAUUUUCCUAUUAAAAAAAGACCGAUCUUCUAUGGUUAACACGGGCGACAUAUAUAUAAAAAUAUAAUAUUAUCGUAUAUAAUUAUCAAUAAAUAACCGGUAAUACAAUUAUUAAUUAACAGGGCCGGCCUAGACAUUUGGGUGCCCUGCACGAAUUUUGAAAAAUGGCACCUCUAAUUCUCAAGAUUGUAAAGAAAAAUUUACAUAUAUUGUAAAGAAAUUAUUUUCGCGAAUCAAUUUGAGCAUUCAAUCAUAAUUAUGAUGUUUAAUUUUCAGGUUCAAAGUCGGAUGGAUCUGGUAGGCCUAUGAAGGAAGUUGCCUGUCCUACUUGUACAGUCCAUUUGCAGGUCCCAAUUAUGUUUCACUUGACACUUCACACUUCCUGGGAACUCUAUCUUUGACAUGCCUUACAUUUUAUAUGUUCUAAUUAAAAUCGUGUCAGAGACCAGAGGUGUAUAUUUUUAUUAUUUUCAUCAUCUUAUAUAGGAGUAUGUUUUUAGUUAAGUCAAUUAACCUUAAAAGCUACUCCUUCCAUCCCCUUUUACAUGUCCAGUUUGACUGUUGACCAGUCAAAUUGACUAUAUUUUGAAUGAAAUUUAUAUGUAUUAUAUAAUUGUGAAAAAUAAUAAAAAAUAUAUCACUAGAAAGUAUAUUUAGUCUAUUUUAUUAUGCAACCUUUCAGAUUUUAAAAAUAAUGAAUGGAUAAUUUAUAAUGUUUAGUCAAAAAUUAGUCAGUUUGACUCCUCGAAAAGCAAAAUGGACAUGUAAAAGAGGACGGAGGGAGUAACAUUAUUAUAUAUAUCCAGCUUCCUUGCACAGAAAUAUGAAUUCAGUUCUGUGAUUGUUUUAUGCAAUCUUAGAAAUAAUAUCAAUAGAUGUUAAUAAUCCAAUUUAUCACUUGUUUUUUUUCUCUUGCUCUUUAAAUAUUAAUGAAAUUGGCGACUAUGGUUACAGGUACAAGUUCUCAGUUCAGGUUCUGAGACCAUUGAAUGUGGGGUUAUCCAGCAUCCGUUUUUAGUAAGCGAACGCUGAUGACAUAAUAUAUAUUUCAUUCUCAAUCUUCUUGUUUUUAAUUUGUUUCAGCAAGUUGUGAGAUCAGAAAUUGGGUUGGCAUGUAUUUAUCCAUUCUCAUUAUACAAGACUUGCUAAACAUUGUCAGCUGGUUGUAUCAUGUAUGUACAAAUCUAUGGGUUGUCAAAAUUUUUGUUGAAUUUUAUGUGGCUUCACUCACUGUAAAUCUAUAAAAGGAAUUCGAGUGUGUGUACUUGUUAUUUAUUUGUUGUUGGAAUUAUUGUACGUACGGUUUCAGGGUGAUGCUGUAGGUUUCUAUUAUUGAACUUGAGAUUACUGUUUUGAUUUUAUGCUUCAAUAAGGUUGCUUGUAUUGUCUUUUUGUUCCCCAUUAAUGCUCCUGACCAUGAUGGACGAACAUUCUCUAUAACUGUCUUGGAAAUUUUUACCUGUGGCCAAAUGUGAUAAAGAAUGAAUUACCUGCUUUAUUUUUGGCUUAAUGACCUUUUAGCCCUCGAGGUUUGGAUAAAUGUUCCGAUGCGGCCUCGAUGUUUAAAGUUGUUCGAUUCAACCCUCCAAGUUUUCCGAAUGUACCUUUUAACCCUUAUGACAUAUACUGGUAUAUAACGGGGUGGACAAAGUUGACAUUUCACACGUGAGGGUUAAAAGGGGCAUUAAACAUCGAGGAUUAAAAGGAACAUCUAAUGUAUUUUAAUGUAUUCUUGAGGGAUUAAAAGAAACGAGAUGUAUACUUUAGGGAUUAAAAGGUACGCCCAAACUUUACCCUGAAUAUGAAUUGUCAAGUUUACCCUCCGUUAUAUACCGUCAUUUGAAAAGAGGGCUAANCAAACCCAGCCUCUCAUUCCCCCUACACAAUUGAUGAACUCUCAUGUUGCCAACCAACAAGAAGGGUUGAAUCGAACGACUUUAAACAUCGAGACCGCAUCAGAACAUCCAUUCAAACUUCGAGGGUUAAAAGGUCAUUAAGCCUUUAUUUUUUAAACGAGUGUUUCCUAUAUCUAUUAAACUCUAAAGAGGGUAGGGAAAUAGAUAUUCCAGUAAAAACAAACAUGUUUAAAAUAAAAUCUAUAAUCUAUAAUUUCUAAACAUGUUUCAUCGAUAUCAUGUGAAACAUGAAUUGUAAAUAUCAUAUAAAAAUCCUAUGUUAUUAUCAUUAUAUCACAUAUAUCAUAUUCCCUCUGUCCCUCUCAUUUCUUUACAAUUUUUUCAUACUGCUUGACACGCAUUUUAAGACGCAUAUAAAACAUAGUUCUAUAACUUACUUUUAAAUUAUUAUUUUUUGUAUAAAAAUUUAACCAUCAAAUUUUAUUCAGAAGAAAAAAAAGUUCAAAAUAAUUUAUCGAACUACGUUUUACGAAAGCAUUAGAAUGCGUGCCGAGCCCCUGUCGCCCAAUGUAAACAAAUGAGGGGGACGUAGGGAGUACUAUUUACACAUAUUAGCUCAUCGGAGUCCCUGAUGUCUGCUAUGCGCCUAUCCACCAUCUUUGCUCUAAAUAAUAUAACAAAUUAUAUAAUAUUAAAUAGAUAGUAUUUGUGUAUGAUAUUUUAUUGAUGAAUAUGUUUUUCUAUUAUAGACUAUUGAAUAAGGGAUUCGGUUCGUCAUGAGAAGGAUGAAUGUAGAGAAAUUUAAGAUGUUCUAUCGAGAAACUGAUAAUAUCUAAUGUUACAAUAAGGUCUUUUUACAUAGAGAUCCUUCAGUUGUUACAGUAUUACAUGAAUUAUUUUCGAGUGUAAUCUUUUCAAGAUUCGUCUUGUCUCCAUAUUUUCUAGUGCCAGCUUUUCCAGAUUCUUCUGGUCUCCAUAUUUUCCAAGAUGUCAUAUCUUCUUGUCACGUCUUCCGUCUUCUUUCUCAAUUAUGCAUGAUCUUCAAGAUUUUCUUGUCUGUGUCCUGUUAGCUUUUUUUGUCUUUCGGCUUUCAAUAAUUUCUACAUUAUAGUAUUAGUUAGCCUAUAUAACAGAACUUUAAAUGUGAGGAAAGUUCUCCUAUAAUUAAGGAUACAUAUUAUUUGCGAAAAUUAUUUCAUUUAAAAUGGAUUAUUUCGCAUUUGAUUCAGUGUAAAAAAGUUGGGAUGAUCGUUUCGGUCACAGGCCACACUGCAAUCAUGUAAAGCUUAAUACCGUAAGAUUUGUUUAGUAGUUUAGGCAGUUCUUUGUAGGAACAUAUAUAAUGAUAAGUUGAACCCAUUGAUUCAUUGUUUGCAUCCAAUCUUAUAACUUAUACUACAGGACAUAUCUUCGGGUGUGUUUUAAUCAAACUGUUUAAUUAUAAGUGGUUUAGCAACUUAGCAUAAGUUAUAUUCAUAUCCUGGUUCUAAAACAUUAGUUGGCCAUGAAACUCUUGGAUUCUAAAUCAUUACUUAUUUUAUGUCAUCUGUAUUUAGAAGUUGACAUUUUAUUUUAUAUCAAACUUGAACACAUUCAUCUCCGGUACUGUUAAACACUGUAAGGCUGCAGUGAAAUUGCCAAUAUAUUAAAAACCGGACCUCAACAACUUCAAAUUUUCAAGUCUUUAUAAAAUACAGAAAUAUUUUUCUGUUUGCAAUCAUUCUUUUUUAAAAUUUCUUACGAUGGUGUGUUUCUAAAAAAAAAUGUCAAGUAGGUCACUCGUUUCUAAAAAUUUCUUACUUUUUUAAUUUUUUGAUUGUUUUAUUUGAUUUAAAUAAAAAUAAAUAGGAGAUAAAUUUUGAAAAAUCUAAAAAUAUUAUCUAAAAUACUAGAACUCGGAAUCUUUCAUUUAGAUGUAAUACCAUUCAUAAAAAAUGUGCGAAACUCAAUAUAUAAUACUUUCAAAAUUUCGACUAAUGAUAGAGUGAUAUUUUUGAUACAAAUUUUUCUAAUGAGUGUCUCAUUUGAGUCAAUUUGGGAAUCAGUGACUCAAUUGAUACAUUCGGACGAAACGAGUGAUCCACUUGAUAUUUAUCCCGUUCUAAUAAUAUAACUUAAAUUAUAUAAUGUUAAAUAGAUAGUAUUUGUGUAUGAUAUUUAUUGAUGAAUAUAUUUUUCUAUUAUAGACUGUAGAAUAAGGGAUUUAGUCUGUCAUGAGAAGAAUGAAUGUAGAAAAUUAAGAUGAUGUAUUGAGAAACUGAUGAUCUCCAAUAUUACAAUAAAAUCUCUUUAUGUAGAGAUCCUUCUGUUGUUACAGUAUUAUAUGAAUUAUUUCCGAGCGUAAGCUUUUCGAGAUUUGUCUUGUCUCCAUAUUUUCUAGUAUCAGCUUUUCCAGAUUCUUUUGGUUUCCAUAUUUUUCAAGAUGUCAUAUCUUCUUAUAUCAUGUCUUCUGUUUUCUUUCUCAAUUAUGCAUGAUCUUGAAGAAUUUCUUGUCUAUUGUCGUGUCAGCUUUCAUAAUUUCUACAUUAUCGUAUGAAUUAGAUUAUAACUGAACUUUAAAUGUGAGGAAAGUUCUUCUUUAAUUAAGGUACAUCUUAUGUGUGAAAAUUAUUUCAUUUAAAAUGGAUUAAUUGUUUCACAGUUGAUUUAAUGUAAAAAAAAUUGGGAUGAUCUUGUUUUGGUCACAGGCCACACUACAAUCAUUUAAAGGUUAAUAUGGUAAGAUUUGUUUGGUAGUUUAGGCGGUUCUUUGCAGGAACAUAUAUAAUGAUAAGUUGAUCGCUUCCUGUUGAACCUACUGAUUCAUUGUUUGCAUCCAAUCUUAUAUCUUAUACUAGCAUGACAUAUCUUCGGGUGUGUUUUAAUCAACUUGUUUGAUUAGAGGUGGUUUAGCAACUUAGCAUAAGUUAUAUUCAUAUACUGGUUCUAAAACAUUAGUUGGCCAUUAAAUUCUUGGAUUCUAAAUCAUUACUUAUUUUAUGUCUUCAUUUAUAUUUAGAAGUUGACAUUUUCUUUUAUAUAAGAAUUCAAACUCGAACAUAAUUAUCUCCGAUACACUAAAGCACUGUAAGCUGCGGUGAAAUUGACAAUCUAUUAAAACUGGACUUCAACAAGGUCAAAAUUUCAAGUCUUCAUAAAAUAUAGAAAUUCCUUAAAAUUCUUACGAUGGUGUGUUUUUUAAAAAAAAAGUGUUAAAAAUCAUAUGUAAAUUUAUGUGUUGCUGUUCACUCAAAAAGCAAAGCAAACUGAGCAGGCUUCAUGCGGAAAUGGUUUAGAAUAAUGUGCAUGAUGGUUGACGGUUGAAACAGAAAUGAGGUAGGCCACCAAACUACACGACCAUUUUCGAUUAAAUUUUAGUUAAAGCACUCUAUAAAAAGAAAAUUAUUGAGCCUGUUUGGUUGAGAGAAGCAGAAACUGUUUCUGACUUCUGCUUUUCUUGACCCGUUUGUGUAAAAAGUAGAAGCAUUUUUAAAAAGCUGAGACUUCUUCCUCACAGCUUCUGUUUUUUUUCCAAACAUUUUAUUAACUUAUUUACUUCUCACUUCUACUCCACCUGUUGCAAGAAGUCACUUCUUUUAAGUUAACCCAAACGGCCCCAUUAUCAUGCUAAAUGAACUUGUCAUUAUACUAAAAGGUAACGGAGUCCAUUAUUUCAUUACUUUUAAUCUCGAUAGAAAGUAGGAUAUAUAGUUUGGUGGUAAAGAGUCAUUAAUUUUUGUAUUUGUUGAAAUAUAACAUGAGAUUCAUUUGGGAUUCAUGCAUACAUGAUGUUCGGCCGGAAAAAAUAAAAUCUAAAACUUAUAUUUUAAAUCUCGAUGUAUGAGUUUUUGAUAAACAAAGAGGGAGGUGGGUAUGAGAUGAAUUCAUUUUUGAUUUUUUUUCUCUUUGAGUAAUAAAAUGUUAAUGUCUGAUACAAAAUUAAAUCAGUGAUGCCAAAAUAUAUAAUAAUAAUUAUUUCACUAUUAUUUUAAUUAAUAUAAAUUAAUAACUUAUUUCUAGAAAAUCAGAUAUAUUGAUUUUAUCCCUCAAAUUCAUACUAACUUAAUCUGAUUUAUCAUUUCAACCUCAUUCUACUGAUCGAACCAAAUAGAACCAAAUAACCCCUUAACAUUUUAGAUGGACAGAUACUUGGUUAUUUAAAUUGCAUAGUUAUUUGAAUAUUCUUAAUUAUUUAAAUUACUCCGACGAAUAAGACCCACGUAUUAACGAUUGGAAAAAUAGCUAGCUCUUGUCUUGUCUCUGUAAAUUAGUACAUGGGGGCACUUGUCUAGCUAGCUCAUUCUUCUAAACCAACUUCAACAAUCUUUUCUUUUUUUGUUAAAUAACUUCAACAAUCUUACUCCAGGUGUGAUAGAAGAUUACAAGUUAUUCUAAUAGAUACUUGCCCGAAAGUAACAAAUUACACCGAUCAUUUCAAUACUGAGCUACCUAGAUAUACUGAAAAUCAUGAAUAAGUUUUUUCUCCUUUAUUGCCUCUUAACUUCAAUUCUUUUCUUGAUAAAAUAAUUUGAGAACAAAGUACUCUAAUAAAUUAAAUUUAUGAUUAAUGGGCUAGUACUCAAACUCAAAAAUUCAUAACCUUUUGGUACAUACUUGAUACACGCAUUCUAAAUUGCACUCCACACUUAAAAAUCACGCCCAUCAUUUUUAUAUGAUAGUAAGCCUCUAGGCCUAUAUAUUACCAUACAGGAGGAAAACUAAUUACAAAUUUUUAAUUUUGCCCCUCUGAAAUUUUCUUCUGCAGCUGGUUUUGAUUAACCUUAGCUGGUUCUGAAAUAAAUGGUAUGUAUCUCAUGAUGUUUGUUGGUUCCGAACUUAGCGAGGAAAGUCUUUCUAAAAUCCACAUAUGUAUCUAUAGUUCUGGCGGGGAGCCUGUUAAACCAUCUCUGCGCAUUUCCCUUGAGGCUGGUCGCGAAGAAGCGGCAGCUAGUGAGGUCAUUGUACUCAUAGAAUUUGCUCAGCUGGUCAAACUGGUUGAGGUGAUCUUCCGGGUCGCUUUCACCGUUGUAAGCGUCUAGACUUGGGUGCUUUAGGUGCCUUUGUUUUCUUUCGUCUUCCAACCUCCGCGUAAACGGGGAUUCGCCUAUUGCCGCAGAUACUUCUCCUUCUACUCUUUUCUUUAGAUCAUUGAUGGUUUUGAGGAGUUCGUCUCUGGUGCUGCUUUCUGGUUUCCUCUUUGGUGUUCUUUCUCUACGAUUCCUAUCUCCUUUUUCUCCAUUCUCCACAUUGCGGCGUUCCUCAUCUCGCCUCCUUUCAUCUCUUCUUUUUUCCUCUUCGCGUUGUUCUCUGUGUGUGCGCCAUGUUUCAUCACGGUGGUGAUCCCAGCCAUGUCGUGGGUGAGAGGUAUUUCUGGAUGAUAUAUCCAAGUCUGGAGAAGAUGGAUCGUUCCUGGUCAUUUUCCCGUCUGCUGUGUCUCCGAGAGGAAGAUCUUCCUUCGCUUUGAUAGGACUCCCCUCUGCCUUCUUCUUCUCGUCUCUUUCGCUUGAGGUCUGCGACUGUUGCUCUUAAAUCUUUAGCUUGGUUCUUCGUCAACCCUGUUAAGGUCAGAUGUCCGGAGGUGUUUUCCGAUGAUGGCGUACUGGUUCGUCCGUCCUUUAGAUGAUGAUUUUUGUUUGUUUUUUCCGGUGGUGAGUUUUCCUCGCGGCGCUCUUCUCCAUGUUCCUGAUCUUGUGUCGCCAUACUCCUGGUUUAACUGGUUUAGCGGAGGCCUUGCCGAGGGUAUUGUUUUUCUCUCAGUGGUCGAGCUCGAGAGGUCAGGGGAUGAAUUUCAUGCAACCACCCCUUCCUGGCGCGCCAAAUGAUAAGACUCAAAAUGCCUCCUGCCAGGUGUCACUGAAUGCGUCCUUUGUUUUCUACGGUGGCGAGCUGUACGUGAACUGUAUGUGGGGUAACCUGCAAAACAAUGCCUAGCCGGGGGUGGUGGCCGUAAGGCUAAGGCAUCUCCGGCGUGAUAAUCAGUAACUCUCUUAUUUCAAUCUCUUUUACUAGUUUAGUGCGUGCCUCGUAAUGUCAUUUCUCUUUCUUAUUUAUAGUUCUUCAUCCUCGCUCCUGGACCUCUCUCGGUUACACGUGUCAAGGAGAAUAUUCUCUUUUCUCUCCCGCAGAUGAUGACUUUCCGUGGACUUUGCUUUACGCGCCCGCAUGAGGUUGGGAUUCCUUUCAGCUGACGUACUCCCUGUGACGUAAUGAGUUCCUACAUGUCCUUGAUCUGGGGUGGUCCCUAUCAGAUUUCAUAUCGAUUUUUCUUCUGAAGACCGAACAAAAGAAAGUGGCAUGACGAAUAUCAUUAGUUGAUUUCAGCACCCUGCUUGAGUAAAGAGUUUUGACAUUUUUUUCCUAUAUAGCUAAAGUGGGUUUAGAUUAAUUAGAUUGGUUGUACCGUAAAAAUGAAUUUUGUCUUGUUAAACUGAUUUAGACUUUUGUUUAUUAACUUAAUUUCCACACUUCAAUUACAAAAAUAACAAAUGAUGUUGUGAUAAGGAUAUUUAUAUAAUUUUUGUGUUGUUUCAUAACGUGAAAGUGAACCUUAAUUAGCUUGUCCACAUAUUCUGGAUAUUUAAAAAAAGACAUGUGAAGCUAUUAUAAUUAGUUGAAAAGUUAAAAUUUAUGUUGGAGGAGGCUGGCUAAAGUUACUUGGUUCUAUAUGAUAGUUUCAAAUUAACUUCUUUUCUUUUGUCAAGUAACUUUAUUUUCCUCUUACAUAUUGAUUAAAUAAAUAAUUUAAAUGAUAAAUAAGAUGGCAAAUCUUGAGAUUAACUAAGUUUUUAUUCCACCUUAUCUCAUAUAUAUUAAAACAAAUUAUGUCAUUUUUUGCAAUUUUAUAAAAAUAAAAGUACACUCCUCAACAAUAUAAAAUGCUUAUAUUCAGGUGAGAUUUGAGUUGGAUUGAAAUUUUUAUAAUCAAUUCAAAUAGAUGAAUAAACUUAUAAGGUCAAACUUCUAAAACAUUAAGGCCCAAUAUUGGCCCACCCACUAAUAUUAGGUAUAGUGUAGGUCAUUUCGGUUAGGUAUUAUAUAUAGAUAGGGUAGGGGUGUUCCUCAAUUUCGUAGCCGGCCCAAUAUUGGCCCACCCACUAAUAUUAGGUAUAGCGUAGGUAACUAGGUAUAUAUGGGUGGGGAAAGGGGUGUACAUCAUUCCCCCCGCCCGCCUGCAACACACCUGUUCAAAACACAUCUCAAUAUUUUGGCCUUUCUAUAUAAAAUUAUAUUGUUAGUUCUAUUUCACUAGCCAACAAUUAUUCAAAUCAUAUGUUGUGGUUAUGUACUCUCUUUGGCAUGAUUAACAAUAUCAGGUACGUUAAGUGAUUUGUGAAAUCAUAUAUUUGAUGUGAUUAACUAUAAUUCUAUUAUAAUGUUUUUGUAUUUUUAGUUGGAAUGAUUAUUAUUGAAUUUAUUAUUCUGGUGUUGUUUUUUUGAAAGAAUUAUAGUUGGUGAAGUAUGGAAAAUAAUGAAGAAAAUGCUCCAAGAAUAUGCAGGCAUAUCUCCAGUGGCAGGUUGGAAUUAAUCGUUAAAAUGCUUUUGUUGUUUGAUUAACAUUUGUUUACAGAAGGAUCAUGUUUAUAUCUAUUUUUCAGUACUUAUAUUUUGUUUUUAAUGCAGAACCUCCAAACAAUCAAUUCAGUUGUGAAUGAAAACACAAAUCAGGUUAACCAAAACCAAUUGGUUCUUGCAUGGUCCACAUUUCUACAACCGCUACUCCCAGUAUUCAAUACCAAUAUAUCAUAUACGAGAUAAAAAAACCUUUUAUAUAUAAUAUUCCAUUAUGCUAUAAACUUUUCAAACACUCCUGGACCCACAAAACCCCUAUAUAUAGUACGCUAGCCUGCUCGGAGAUUUUGUAUCCUGAGUCCUCUCUCUUAAUUCACAACUCUUUCAAUUGUAUCUUCAUUUCAGUUUCUUACUCACAUGGCUUUUUUCCAGAUCUCCAACCAAACCCAAGCUAUGGCUUCACCACCUUCACCUCUCAUCCCAGAUUCAUAUCAUAUCAACUCUUAUGUUAAUUAUCAAACCCAGCCUCUCAUUCCCCCUACACAAUUGAUGAACUCUCAUGUUGCCAACCAACAAGCGUAUCAUGUUAAUCAGCAUCAUCAUGACCCACUCCCAUUGGAGUUACUAUCAGAAUUGUCCUUUGAACUCAAUAAUCGAAGAGAAAACAUGCAGGCAUAUCUCCAGUGGCAGGUUGGAAUUUAUCGUUAAAAUGCUUUUGUUGUAAUUGCUUGAUAUAUUUUUUUUAUAUAAAAAGGAUCAUGGUUAUAUUUAUUUUUCAGUACUUAAUUAUAUUUAUACUUGUUUUUAAUGCAGAACCUGCAAACAAUCAAUUCAGUUGUGAAUGAACAUACAAAUCAGGUUUCACUCAUUCUCGAUUAUGUUUCAAAACUUCUGGAUUUGAUCCAAGAAAAAGAGAACAAGGUGGCGGCAACAAACCAUGCAAACUGGGGACUUCAGAUGUAUUCAAAUGAAAAUGACUAUCAAUUGAAAGUUUUGCAGCAGAUAGCAGUGGAGAAAGAAGCCCGGCCUGUUGGAAUUAAUUUUAUUAUUAAUUCCAAAUUUAUCUUUUAGUUUUUUUUUUUAUCUUUUAGUUUUUUUUAAAUAAACUGUUGUUAUUAAGUAGCUUGGUAGCAGCAAAGCAUAGGUGAUCAGUAGUAGUUGAGUUAUUUCUUGGUAGUGUAGAGUCUGUAGGAAACAUGCAGUAGUGGAGCAUUAUAAGGAGAUUAGCCUACUGUUCAUUUUGCGGCUCAAGAAGUGGAAGUGUUUCUCUAGUUUUUCUUUAAAUAUGUACGUUGUAUGCUAAGUUGAAGCUUAGCUCAUAAUAGAACAUUUCCUCUGUGUGUAUUUAUCUUUCCUCCCAAGCCUGCACAGAUAAUACACAGUUCUGAGCUUCCAUUGUUAAAAACACAGUCCAAGUUUCCACAAGCCCUAGUGGCCAACAUUCAACAAUAACUGGAGAUGAUUCAAGAGAGAGUUAUCAUCAGUUGAUGAUGAACGCUUCUGAACCAGAUGCAGGUUCUUCAUGUGGUGACCUUUCAAAUGACAUAAUAGAUAGUGAUUGUCAUAUGUGCGGCAAAGAGCUAUCUUCUGUAGUUAUCUCCCCAUGUAAAUAUUUAUGUUGUUUCAAAACAUGUGAUGCUAACGUGUACUCUUGCCCGUCUUGCCCUGUGUGCAAAAUGGCCAAGAAAAGCAGUUUGGAGGUUUCCUGACCUCUGAUAAAGAAAGGAGCAGACUGAUAGGACUUUGAGGUGGGGGUAACCCAGAACGGUUCCUCUUAAUUCGCUGGAGACCCUCCCCUUGAAAACAUAGAUUAAUCCUCCUUUUUGUAGCCUUCCCAGUCUCGGAUCUGAUUGCAUGCAGUAGGUUUGUUUAGCUAUGUUUAGGUCCAGCUGUGUAGUUUAGUAGCCUAUGUUCCUAUGUUCAGUUGCUUAUUACUGGGUUGAGGCAUAUAUGUUGCUUAUGUUCUGCCCUUCCUCUUGUUGGAGAGGUUUGGGUUAUUAAUAAAUUUGUGUUUGUCUAAAAAAAAAUAAUUCAAAAACGCUUAGUUUACUAUUACAAUUUAC
rnacentral:lncRNA from 1 species